AAGCUUUCCUUGAAUGGACAUUGUCGUCAUAAAAGAGAAAAACUCUGCGGCAUUGAUCACUUCUCUUGCCCAGCUUGCACCCCAGAUACAGUUGCUGUGUCUGCAGACGGAAACAGAAAACUAUACAGAUUCAGCAAAACAAAGGGGGCAGAGGAACAACCAUUUUUUGAUGGAGUUUUUCUUGCUAAUGACAAAGAUGUAGCAACAUUUGUUGAUUGUGUUCGUGAGAAGACCAUUCCAGUACAUGGAAAAGGCAUCUGUGGAACAU